GCUAGAGUACAGCAUGCUUUCAAGCUAGGCUCUUUGGGCCUAUGAUUUUGACAAUGUUCUGGCAGGUCUCAAUAGAAACACUCCUGCUCGGAAAUAUUUUAAUGGUAGGUGGAAUAAGACAAAUGACAUAUUUAGUGUAGAGUCUAGGACGAAGACAUAUCCUUUCCAUUGUGACCCAGAUAAGAAUGUAGCCGGUGAGCUUGCUUCCUGUCACUCAUUUCCCAGCUAUUUGUUGUAGUCCAAGUUGUGCAUAUUCUUUCUGUUAGGUUCUUAUGUUUGUCUUAAGCUCACCCAUCUUUUCUUCUUCCCUCAUUUUUUCUUUAUAAAUCAAGAAAAAUUCUGCCACUUUCUUUCCCUGGCUCACUGCACAGCCAAUCAAUAAUUUUGAAUCCUUUGUGUAUCAAUUUCUACUGGCUAU
rnacentral:lncRNA from 1 species